AAGGGUUGGGCUGUUCGCCCAUUAAAGUGGCACGCGAGCUGGGUUCAGAACGUCGUGAGACAGUUCGGUCCCUAUCCGUCGUGGGCGUAGGAAAAUUGAGAAGAUCUGUCCUUAGUACGAGAGGACCGGGAUGGACACACCUAUGGUGUAUCUGUUGUCACGCCAGUGGCAGUGCAGAGUAGCUAAGUGUGGAAUAGAUAAUCGCUGAAAGCAUCUAAGCGAGAAGCUAACUUCAAGAUGAGUUUUCCCAUAUUUUAUAUAGUAAGAUCCCAGAAAGACUAACUGGUUGAUAGGCUAGAGGUGGAAGUGUAGUGAUACAUUGAGCUGACUAGUACUAAUAGAUCGAGGAUUUAACCCUA
rnacentral:rRNA from 1 species